rnacentral:misc_RNA from 1 species
GCGAGUAAGACCCUGCCCUAGUGGCUCGGUCAGUCCCAUCAUAUACACCUUUAUUCGUGAACUCGUGGUUCAGCUGGGACGAUGAAAGCUUUUGGCGACUAGCCGUCCGUCGGUUCCGCUCUUUAUUACCCUUUAUGUGAAGUCAAUGGAAAUUAUGAUAAUCUAAUA